GCGAACCCCACCAAAAGGAAGAAACUCCGAACACAUCUGAAGCACUGUAUAGGAUGUCUGAUUACCGUGAGAGCAUGAGCUGUGCUGAAUCUCCAGCUAGCCACAAUGAAAAGCCUUUUGGAGAGAGAAUGUCCAGUCAACCUCCCAGCUGUUCCAGCCUUUCCAACAGAGGUAUCAAACAGGUGAUAUGAGUCUGACAUAUGCACUGAAACAUCAACAGGUCUUGCUAUGUCAACUAUGCAGGAGUGCAGUGGCA
rnacentral:lncRNA from 1 species